UACGAAGGGGGCUAGCGUUGCUCGGAAUUACUGGGCGUAAAGGGCGCGUAGGCGGCACUGUUAGUCAGGCGUGAAAGUCCUGGGCUCAACCUGGGAACUGCGCUUGAUACGGCAGAGCUAGAGGAUGGGAAGAGGCUCGCGGAAUUCCCAGUGUAGAGAUGAAAUUCGUAGAUAUUGGGAAGAACACCGGUGGCGAAGGCGGCGAGCCUGGUCCAUUACUGACGCUGAGGCGCGACAGCGUGGGGAGCAAACAGG
rnacentral:rRNA from 1 species